UGCGACUCGCUGCUGCCCCCAGAGGCUGAGAGUAGGAACAGCCAAUCUCAGUGGUAGAGGAUGCAGAACUGGGUGAACUCCCCAGCUCUGAUCCUUCCUGUCGAGAAAGUCAUCUUCCCCUAUGAAUCUCAUGUUCCUCGGUCAAGAAAUGAGUGCAGUAACACCCCUGCCUGGUUGCUGACGAGCUAUCUUUCAGCAAUUGAAGACUGAUUUCAUGUUGCCCCAGGAAUCCAAUACUGCUGAGGAGGCCCAGGAGAUGACUGAGGAUACUAAGAACUUGUUGGAAGAAUUCAUUUCUGGAAUUUUAAAAGUAGCGAACAGGCUUAUAGGGGUGAAUGUCAGUAACCUUCAUAUCCUGGAUAUCACAUUAGAAGUGACUUCUGAAAACACCACCGAAGUGAUCAUCCCCAUCAUUGCUGAAGUCAAUGUGAAACCGUACAUUGGACUGCUCAACAGGGUUGUGGACUUGCAAUCAGUCUCGUGAAUGAGGUGUUGUCCCAGGUAGCACACUAUGAGGUUGAUUCCCAGGGACUUGACUGAAUCUCUGUACCGUCUCCCUCUGGGACUGUCGGUGCUGCCACCAUCCCCCAGGAGUGACAACUGAGCCCAGUCAAGGACACUCUCAGAUACGCCUCCUCGCAGUCAGGACACCCUAUGCUCCUCGCCCUCCACCCCCAGCAAUAAAAAGCCAU
ensembl:lncRNA